CGGCUCCAAUAGCGUAUAUUAAAGUUGUUGCAGUUAAAAAGCUCGUAGUUGGAUCUAGGGACGCGCAUUUCAAGCGCCCGUGUCGUUGGGUCAAACCAGCGACUGCGUUGGCGUUGCGGGCUCGGUCCGUCGGUGCCACAAAGCAUCGGCGUGUCAACCGGCCCGCCCGUCCCCUCCUUCUGGAUUCCCGUUCCUGCUAUUGAGUUAGUGGGGACGUCACAGGGGGCCCAUCGUGCAAACGGCGGCGGUGGGUCCCUGGGGCCCAUCGUUUACCGUGAAAAAAUUAGAGUGUUCAAAGCAGGCAGAUCCAAUUUUCUGCCACCGAAUACAUUAGCAUGGGAUAAUGGAAUAGGACCCUGUCCUCCUAUUUUCAGUUGGUUUUGGCAGUGCGAGGACUAGGGUAAUGAUUAAUAGGGAUAGUUGGGGGCAUUAAUAUUUAAUUGUCAGAGGUGAAAUUCUUGGAUUUAUGAAAGAUUAACUU
rnacentral:rRNA from 1 species